rnacentral:lncRNA from 1 species
CUCCGACGCUCAAGUCAGUUCUUUGCCUCAACAAGAAUGGAGUGCUCGAACGAAAAUUUUAGCAGAGUUUUUGGGAUAGAAAUUAGAGCUUAGAGAAUAACGUAUCCGGGAUCCCCUUUUUAUAGGCGGAGGGCGCAACAAACUGAUAGCGACGUUUGUAACCGUCUGGCAGUGGGCCGUUCGGGGCCAGAAGGAGCUUGUUAUGAAGAGUAGUGGAGUGGAAUCGUGGCCAUCACCGUGACCUGCCACGUGGAGUCU